rnacentral:rRNA from 1 species
UACGGAGGGUGCGAGCGUUAUCCGGAAUUACUGGGUUUAAAGGGUGCGUAGGCGGUUUAAUAAGUCAGAGGUGAAAGUUUGCAGCUUAACUGUAAAAUUGCCUUUGAUACUGUUAGACUAGAAUUAGGUUGAGGUUAGUAGAAUGUGGCAUGUAGCGGUGAAAUGCUUAGAUAUGCCAUAGAAUACCGAUUGCGAAGGCAGCUAACUAGGCUUAUAUUGACGCUGAGGCACGAAAGCGUGGGGAGCGAACAGG